CCCGCCCCCCCGGAGCACCGCCCGGCCGCCCAGCGCAGCCCCGCGGGCAGGUGGAGGGUCCCCCCGCCCUCGGCUCCUCGGGGGCUUCGUCCCCUCUCCCGAAAGAGUGUCAGAAAAAUCAUAAGCACAAACUGCAGCUGGUGCUUCUGUAGCCAGGGAGGAUCGGUGGGAGCAAAUGAGCUGCUCCCCACACUGCUUGGCUUUUGGGGGCACUGGCUGUGCCUGUCCUCUGCCCUUUGGGGACAAAACUGGUGUAAUGAUUGCACUCGGAUUCCUUCAGGCUCCAAACCAGACAAGAGAUAGGAACCAGGAAUCCUUUUCAAAGUCGUGUUUUAACAAAGGAUAUUCCUCUUGUUUUUCCAGACACGCAACUUACAAUAUUUGGAGUUGUGCCCUCUGCAAAUUGAAUCCACAGUCCUGAAAACCCGCAGCUGAUGCCAAGCAUUUUAAUCUUACCAGAAGUAAACAGUGAGCACCAAUUUACAUAAAAAUCAACAUGUAAAAUUAUUUCAGUGUUAACAUUGUGACACUGCAAGUAUAUUGGGUGACUUUGGGGCCGCUCAACGCUUUUUAAAUGGAUGCUGCUGCUACAACAGAUUCAGGUCGUGUUUGUUUUUCAGAUGUUUGUAGGAAAUUAUGUGGAUUAAAAAGCUCUGCUUUAGGAAAAUGAAAUGAAAAGAAGCAUAUUCUUCAAGGACCACUGAGUCUGGAGGUCUUUUGGAAGUCUUCCUGGAAGGAGAAUUUCAGCAGGGUGGGAGGUUUGGGAGCCUGGAGGAUGCUCCAGAGGUUCAAAAGGUCUCCUGCUCCCUCUGAGGGUGGUGGCAGAUAUCAGUGAGCACAGCUGCUUGGGCACUGCCUGCACCUCUGUGGGGGCAGAGGAGUAUCAGCAGGUGGGUUUCCCUGCUCAGCUCAGAGUGAAGAAAAAGGAGGAAUAAAUCCAGCUAAAAGCAGAUAUUUCAAGAAUUGCUCCAAAGCUGCUGUUUUCAUUCCAGGUGGUGCUUAUAGAGAUCACAUCGCUGCAGGUUUAGCCAGCUUGGGAUUGUCAUAAUUAGUCUCCCAGGAGAGCAUCAGGGAACUGUGGAAGAAAAGGCCAGACCAGCAGCUGGUGAGAUCACCCAGUGACUUGUGCCCAGCUUUACAGGGACCUCCUGCCUGACCCACGACAUCAUGACCAUGGAUCAGCCACAGGAUCAUGUUCUGCUUCAACAUCCCCCCCCCAGAGGGGAAGGAGGAGCCAGGCAAGGUGUAUUAGCAGCCCCAGCCCAAGGGCUUUGUGGUGCCUGCACGACCCUUUGCAUCCCAGAGGAAUAAAAGAUGGGACACAGCAGUGGGACUGUGGAGGCAGGUGGAGAGGACGGUGCUGUGAGUCUGUUUUGCAGCUGCAGUUUUGCAGAUCUCAGGGGUCUAGAUGGGAAAUCUGUGAGGGCAAAGGGGUGACAGGGAUAAAAAGCAUCCUACACCCCAUCUGGGUUUGUGCCACCUCCAGCUCUGCAGGAGCUGUGGCGUCGGAACUGGGAACAUCCAUCCCAGAGUCUAGCAGUUCCUUCUGGGGCUUCUGGAGACCUAAUUCCCAAAUAGCAGCUUCCCUUCUGUGCUCACAGCCCUUGCCACUGGGCCAAGAAACCCAGAGACGACCAGUGCUGGGGGCAGCACUCACCAGGAGUCCUGGCUAUGAUGCCUUGGGCUUCACCCUUGUCUACCCCAAAAAUGCCUGGGCAAGGGGGGCAGGGCUUGGCCAGGAUGGAACGUGGCAGCUCCAGGGGUGCAUGGCAUGAUCCCCCUCCAGUGCCUGGAAGAUUCAGGGGUCUGGAAUGAUAAAGCACCUCCCACCCCAAACCCACAGGUUUUUCCUCCUCAGUGUUACCCACUCACUGUUGCCCCCAGCCUGGCCGGGGUCGGUGCUGUGCUGCUGACCUGGCCAGGUGGAGAUGCCAAGGCAAGUAAUUUUUUUUGGCUUUUUCACAUUUUCAGCUUGUUAACAACCGUUGUUCCCUCCACAUCUGCCAGCUCAGGAGAGAACCGCUGCUUUAGCUCUGUGUCGCCAGGGAGAGCUUAAACAUCGUCAUUAAAAAAUUCCUGCCUUGCAUCAUCUCCUCAGACAUGCAGGAAGAAACCUUUGCAAUUAGAUUCCCCGUGCACUGGCAGGAGGGCAGGAGUUCUUCCUUUUUUUCCCCUUUCUGUAAUGAUGAUGUUCUGUGAUUUUAGGGCAGCAGGGAAAAAAUAAAAAAGAAAAAAAAAUUAAAAAGAAGCCUGUUUGAUUUUCCUCAUUAUGUUAAGCCUGGUUUUACUUUCUGAUUGCCAAAGCAUGAUAAAUGGAACAAAGAUUACCUAGAGAUUUUCAAAGAUUUGCUUUCAAUUUGAUUUUUCCUGAGCCUCAUUAAGCCUGCAGGUUUUAUCUACACUUUGUUCUUACAGUGGAGUGACAUGACCAUAUAUUAAUAGCCAUAUUUUUUUCCGUUGAAAUUAAAACCAGAUAGAGGCUUCUCAUGCUUUGCUUUCAAAUCCUAUUUUAAAAAAUAUUGAUCAUGUGUGUGUUGUUUUCCUUUCCCUCUGACACUGCUGGCUCUGUAAAGGACAUUCGCCAGGGAAAUGCUUUCAGUCCUGGAUCUCUGGGCAUUACUGGGUGCAGUUUUGUGGAUUAAGGAACAUAUUUUGGAAGGUAUAAUGUAAAGAUAAAAGAAAAACGUGGCUUUCAACAGAGAGGCAGACAAGAAAAAUAAGAUAUUAAAGCAGGAGCUCUACAGUCAGGGGGUACAGAGGAGCUUAGACAAGAUAAGAUAAUCUAUGAUGUGCCCACGUGCAUCUUUCAGGAGAAAAAUGCCAUUGGAAGAGCUCAUCCUCCAUGAUUUGAGGAGAAACUCAUGGCUGAGAGUCCUGUGUGCUGCUGUCUAGAAGUUUGGAAAAGGGUGGCAGGGGCUGGGCAUGAAGGACAGUGUGGGACACACCCACACAAAGCCACCCUGACAUUCCUGAUGGUGUUCCUUCUGCCGGAGCCGGGAGAACGGACCCACCUCCUGUGUUUUCCAGUAUCAUCAAUAUACUUGAUCCUGAGGUGUCCCUUUGGCAAAGGGGAGUCCCGGGAACCGUUUGCUCCCAAACCUGGACCAGGUGUUUGCACGUACUGAACAAACGGAGUUUCACCGUGAAAGAAGUGACAUCCCUGCCGGUGGUGGCUGCUGCACUCCUGUGGCCGCCAGCCAAGUCCACAUCAGCCAUGAUCCAGCUUUUUGACCUCUCCUUCCAUCCGUGAAUCCCCGGCGUGGAUCCAAAGCCUUUGGACGGCAGCGCUGAGCUGCAGAACAAGGGGUCCGGCUCGUAAAAUUUGAACAACAACAACAACAAAAAAAAAACCACACCAAAAAACAACCCCCAAAACAGCCCUAGAGAUGCAAAUCUGUGGGGCGGCCGGUUUUUGGGAAGGGAUGCAGGGAUGCUCGGCGCGUGCACCGCCCGGUGUCACCAGGAGGUGGCACAGCCCGAGCGGGGAUGUCGCGCCGGGUCCCGCAUCCCGGGCUGGACCCGCAUCCCGGCACCCCCCAAAACGCGAGCGGCGGGAUUCGUCGGUUCCAGGAAAGAGGAGAAAAGGAUCUCGCGUCUCCUUUCUCGGAAAGCCAUCGUGCAAAACCCGCGCGCACGGAAAACAAACGGACAAAAAAAAAAAAA